GUCUACGGCCAUAUCACGUUGAAAACACCAGUUUUCGUCCGAUCACUGUAAACAUUUAAAUUAAAAGAAACAACCGUGUUAAGUUUUUCAUCUUAUUUUCAUUCUCGUCCGAUCACCGAAGUUAAUCAACUCGAGCCCGGUUAGUACUUGGAUGGGUGACCGCCUGGGAAUACCGGGUGCUGUAGGCU
rfam:Helobdella robusta unplaced genomic scaffold HELROscaffold_93, whole genome shotgun sequence.